rnacentral:rRNA from 1 species
GAUGAACGCUAGCGGCAGGCUUAAUACAUGCAAGUCGAGGGACAGCACAGGUAGCAAUACCGGGUGGUAACCGUCAAACGGGUGCGGAACACGUACACAACCUUCCUUUAAGUGGGGGAUAGCCCAGAGAAAUUUGGAUUAAUACCCCGUAAUAUAGUUGAAUGGCAUCAUUUGAUUAUUAUAGCUACGGCGCUUAAUGAUGGGUGUGCGGCUGAUUAGAUAGUUGGCGGGGUAACGGCCCACCAAGUCUACGAUCAGUAGCUGAUGUGAGAGCGUGAUCAGCCACACGGGCACUGAGACACGGGCCCGACUCCUACGGGAGGCAGCAGUAAGGAAUAUUGGUCAAUGGACGCAAGUCUGAACCAGCCAUGCCGCGUGAAGGAUUAAGGUCCUCUGGAUUGUAAACUUCUUUUAUUUGGGACGAAAAAGGGCCUUUCUAGGUCAACUGACGGUACCAGAUGAAUAAGCACCGGCUAACUCCGUGCCAGCCGCCGCCGUAACAC